AACGAACGCUGGCGGCAGGCCUAACACAUGCAAGUCGAGCGAGGACUUCGGUUCUAGCGGCGGACGGGUGAGUAACGCGUGGGAAUGUGCCCUUCUCUACGGAAUAGCCCUGGGAAACUGGGAGUAAUACCGUAUACGCCCUUUUGGGGAAAGAUUUAUCGGAGAAGGAUCAGCCCGCGUUGGAUUAGGUAGUUGGUGGGGUAAUGGCCUACCAAGCCGACGAUCCAUAGCUGGUUUGAGAGGAUGAUCAGCCACACUGGGACUGAGACACGGCCCAGACUCCUGCGGGAGGCAGCAGUGGGGAAUCUUAGACAAGGGGGGCAACCCUGAUCUAGCCAUGCCGCGUGAGUGAUGAAGGCCUUAGGGUUGUAAAGCUCUUUCAGCUGGGAAGAUAAUGACGGUACCAGCAGAAGAAGCCCCGGCUAACUCCGUG
rnacentral:rRNA from 1 species